UACGUAGGGGGCAAGCGUUGUCCGGAAUCAUUGGGCGUAAAGAGCGUGUAGGCGGCUUGGUAAGUCCGCUGUGAAAGUCCAGGGCUCAACCCUGGAAAGCCGGUGGAAACUGUCAAGCUUGAGUCCGGAAGAGGCGAGUGGAAUUCCUGGUGUAGCGGUGGAAUGCGUAGAGAUCCGGCAGAAGACCGGUGGCGAAGGCGGCCAGCUGGGCAGUGACUGACACUGAGGCGCGACAGCGUGGGGAGCAAACAGG
rnacentral:rRNA from 1 species